rnacentral:rRNA from 1 species
UACGUAGGGUGCAAGCGUUAAUCGGAAUGACUGGGCGUAAAGGGUGCGCAGGCGGUUUGUUAAGACGGAUGUGAAAGCCCCGGGCUCAACCUGGGAAUAGCAUACGUGACUGGCAAACUAGAAUAUGGCAGAGGGAGGUGGAAUUCCAUGUGUAGCAGUGAAAUGCGUAGAGAUGUGGAGGAACACCGAUGGCGAAGGCAGCCUCCUGGGCCAAUAUUGACGCUCAGGCACGAAAGCGUGGGGAGCAAACAGG